rnacentral:rRNA from 1 species
GGAAUGAUGGUGACCCAAACCCUCACCAGAGUAGCAAUUGGAGGGCAAGUCUGGUGCCAGCAGCCGCGGUAAUUCCAGCUCCAAUAGCGUAUAUUAAACUUGUUGCAGUUAAAAAGCUCGUAGUUGUAUUUUUGCGUUGGCGGUUUGACCAUUUGGUUGGUUAUUUCGUUUUCGCUUUUGGGAAUUUCCCUUUUUACUUUGAGAAAAUUAGAGUGUUUCAAGCAGACUUUUGUCUUGAAUACUUCAGCAUGGAAUAAUAGAGUAGGACUUUGGUUCUAUUUUGUUGGUUAUUGAACCUUAGUAAUGGUUAAUAGGAACGGUUGGGGGCAUUCGUAUUUAACUGUCAGAGGUGAAAUUCUUAGAUUUGUUAAAGACGAACUACUGCGAAAGCAUUUGCCAAGGACGUUUCCAUUAAUCAAGAACGAAAGUUAGGGGAUCGAAGACGAUCAGAUACCGUCGUAGUCCUAACCAUAAACUA